GCGGUUAUGGAGUUGAUGGCUCGUGUUUUUUUCCUCUUUUGCUUUAUUUGUUUUGUUUUGUUUCUACUUACAACAAAAAACUUAUUUAUUUUAUUUCUAAUUACUUAUGUAUUUUACUUUAAUUAUUUUAUUUUUAUUUAUUCUACUACUGCUAUUUUUAUUUAUUUUACUGCUGCUAUUUUUACUUAAUUUAUUAAGGUUUAUUUAUUNNNNNNNNNNCCUCUGUUUUUUUUUCUCUUUUGCUUUAUUUGUUUUGUUUUGUUUCUACUUACAACAAAAAACUUAUUUAUUUUAUUUCUAAUUACUUAUGUAUUUUACUUUAAUUAUUUUAUUUUUAUUUAUUUUACUGCUGCUAUUUUUACUUAAUUUAUUAAGGUUUAUUUAUUGUAGUU
rnacentral:lncRNA from 1 species